GUGAACUUUGUUAUCUGUUAUUAUUUGGAUUUUGAACAAAAUUGAUGGAGUAGGAACCAGUAGAGGAAUCCUGUUUGAUCUGGAAAUUUUCGGUGGAGAGUCCAAAAGGUCGAAGAACCAAGUUCCCAAGAUCUUUUAGUUUACCUGUAAUGGAAAAUGGAAAAUUCAGAUAAAUAUGGGGAAUAAACAGAAGGAGGAAGACCCCAACUGAUCCUGCCUUACUAUCUGAUUACAAAAUAUAAAGAGCAUCUUGCUUUUAAAAUUAUGAACCCUUUAGCCCCUCAGCAAUGUGGUCACUUUGGUGCCACUCACCCCCACACCCGUGCUUUUGUAGAUGAUCGUGAGGGAGCACCACUGGCUCCCUUUGGGAAAGCAAAGUUUCCUGUUCUAACUGGCCAGAACCAACAAAGGACACAGGCCCUGGGAUGGAUGAUGGCCAAACUGACCGUUGUUCCUGGGGGGCUGAAAGUAUCCUGCCAAGUCCCAGGGCCUGGUGCUGAGGGCGGCGGACCCUCCAAGUCUGUUCUUUGAGGAAAGCAGCAGCCACCUGCUGAAUCUGAUCCCUCUCAGAUUUCUACCGAGCUUGGGUUCAGACUCAAGGGCCUCCUGCUUUACUAAGGAAAGCCUUAGCUUCUACACCAAACUUGUCAUUUCUCAGGAAAUGAGAAAUGUCAAAUGCUCUUGCUCAUCUGACAGCACUGCCAACCUCAACAGUUCAGUCUCUUCUCCCUCGGAUUCAGGCUUAACCCAGGUCUGUUCCCAAUGGAGAGGACAACGGGGGUAAAAGGGAAAGAAAUCCUUAAUCAUCGGAGCUAUAGGUUCCUUCCCACCAUCCUGCUUGUUAGCAGCUUUCUCUGAGGCGUCCCACCUUGAAGUAAAGCCCAGGUAAAGAACUUCUAGACACACAGCCCUUAAACAUCAAGGUCUUUUCUGAUAAUUCAUGGAAAAAACUUUUGGUCUCAGUCUAGACUUAGACCCCAGAGCUCACCGUAUUCUGGGGAAGCUCCCAGAACCCAGGCUGACCAUUCUGCAGGCAGGCUUCCCCAGCCUAAACCUGAACACAUAAUGCUGAGCGUGCCCAUCUGAGGAGAACUGCUGGCACAGUUCAGCCCUGCACACGGGUGCCGACUAGGGCAUGGUCUCCAGCAGAUGGAUGCACAGGUAGGGGCCACAACCAGCACAGAGGAGGGGGCACCCUUGGUUAGGUGUGAGUUCCCCAGAACCCUGGCAGUCUGUUCUGGGGUUGAGGAAGGAGGACAGGGAGGGAACAAACAUUUAAAGAGACGAGUAAAAUGUCGCCACUGGCACAAUCCCUGGCUCUCCUGACACGGAGGGAGUUAAGUGAGAAUGAAUCUCCAGGAGUCACAUCACACUGCCUGAGACCGGCAGGGCCACCCUACACGAACAAGCCUCUGCUCAGGUCCCUAUCCCUCCCCCUGCCCCUGGAAGGAGAGCCCACUGCAAGUCCAUCUCACUGCAGAGCAAGCACUGAAAGCGCCAAAUGUAAAGUAUCUACUAUGUGAUGCAGCAGGAGCUCUGGAGUAAAGUUUAUUCUCAGCUUCUGAGAAACUCUGUCUGGCAGGGUGACAAACACAGGACUAAAGUGGGCCCUGGGCAGAAGCUCCCCGGCCUGUGCAGGGGUGGCGAGACAGGCAUCUCAGAAAGAGUGCACUUGGCAGUGCCCUAAGGUCCUGGCAGUUCCAGGACGCUGGUGUGCCACUGUGUUCCACAGGUGGCAGGGGGACAAGCCUUUCAGCUGCAGAUGGAAAAGGACAGUUAGGACCUCUUGCAGGUUUCCACUUGGCCUGACUGGGGGAGGAAACUGCCUGCCACCAUGAGCCUCGCAUAUUUUGCUUCUCUAGAGUGGCAUGUGUGCAAACGUGCUUCUCUGGCCACAGGUGCCAGGGUGGCUGUGCUGCAUGCCAGGGCUGUGCAUCCCUGUCGCCUGCUGACGGAGCCCGACAGAGCCCGGCAGCGGCAGAUCUGGUACCAUCACUCAGCCAGAAUGUGUCAACAUGUCCCUGACUUAGGAUCUCCUCUGUGAGACUAGAUUGCAGGCAAAGAGAAGAGUCCAAAACUGUGCUCAGACAAGAACGUUUAGGACUAGAGAUUGAUGCCUGUCACUGGAUCCAGAUUUGAUAAAUAAUAGUUUCCAUGCUUCCAAGCAACAUGGUAUCACAAUAACCCACGGACUCAUUAUGUGUAACUGCUCUUUGGAGAUACUAACUGUACAGUAGUCCAUUUACCCUGAAGAGAGACAGGAAUGCCAUUUGUUAAGAUCCCUGGGGUUUGGGCCCCAUGGGAUACACCUGAAUCCUGACACCACAUUUCCUCUUAUGACGUAGGCCCUAAGCCACGCAAGCUGCCUCUUGCUUUCCUCUGAGCAAAAGGCUUAUCAAGAGACAGCACAGGAUAUGAAAGAAAAAAUUCACAGCCAAAUCAAAUGCCUACGUUAGCUCUUGGGUGAAAGUGGAGGCUGAAACAAGCCUUACCAAGAACUGUCAAAGAAGCAGGAGUCAUUCCUCUGAGAGGAGCUGAUGGAGUGACAACCAGGAAAUGAAGCAGAAAGCAGGGCAGUGAAAAUCUACACAGAUACUUCCAGAGGGAAUAACCACAGCAAGGAAGUGGUUUGGAGACACUAAUGUGGCCAGAGUACAAAACACUGCAUGUAUAGUCUCUAAUGAGGAUUAGGGAGGGUGUUAUGAAGAGAAAUAUGAAAAAAAAAAAAAAAAAACAAAAAAACCCUGGAUUUCCAGGGUAUCCACAUAUAUGGCUUUAGCAGUUUUAAGAGUCAGUGACAAUGUCAAGGCUUUCUUGUGACCCUGGGUAAUGGAGCUGGGUCUAGGACCCUUUACUAUGCAGAGCAGAGAAGCAUGUCAUGCACAGGAAGAGCCAACAGAAUGUGUCCAAUAUUUGCCAAGAUAAUGAACAAGUUACUCCUAAGCAUCCUUAUGUAGUUCUUGAUCAUGGCAUCGUACAAGAUGGCAUUCUUAAAUCAGUUCACAAAUGUGUGCUCAUUAGGUUGCUAAUGGCCAGGAGUGAACUCUGGAGAAACUUUAGGAAUCAGGAGAGCAGAAAUAUGUCUCAAGAGAUUAUAAGGAGAUAAUAAUACAAAUGGAAGACCUGGGCUGGAUGGUGAUCAAGGCCCAGGUGUACGCCAGAGCAGCUGGGCAGGAAGCAGUGUGGGAAAGGAUUCUGGAGCUGUGUCCUGCUCCUUGUCUCUGGUUCCUUUGGGGGAAUCAGUGAAUUUCAAGUUGUGGCUCUAGAUUUUCUAGGUCAGGACAGGAACCUGGCAGCUCUUGGUUAUGGUAAGAAGAGUAGCAUCUCAUGGAACUGUUGGAACACAAGCUAUACCUGCUACUGGGACAUAAUGCCACCACCCUAGGACUUGAUAAAUGGUGACAACCUACAGUGAGCUGACUCAAUUUCUCCAGUGACACCUUGUCCAAAUAAACACCAGAAAUGGAACACAGCAAGGAAUCGAUGGCCACAGAGAGGUGUCUGCAAUCUCAAGUCUAGUACAUUCUCAAAUAUCUUUUGCUUUUUUCUCUGCUGCAGCUACAGCACAAAGAGGGAAAGGUAAAACUCAGUGACCUGCUGCUUCUGCUUAGUGACCUCUGCUUCUCUCUCAGAGCAGAACGGCUGACCACUCCUGGCUGCAUCCCUGCGAUGCACCUCCCAUGAUGCUGCUCCCAUGCAGCAGUCACACCCCUCACAGUGGAGGAUAAACUCAAGUAUGCACCAGAAAACACGUAGAGGGGUUGUCAGAACUGAGUGCUGCGUUCCACCGCAAUCUCUGAUUCAGAAGGACUGAAAAUGUGCGUUUUGAAUGAGUUCUCACGUGAAGCUGGUCUGAGCAAUGCAUUCUGAGAACCAGCCCCAAAAGAUACCUUGCUUUCAUAGCUGUUCAGUGGAAUCUUGAUCAGAGAAGCCUGAUAUUAAAAACUAACUGGGGAUACCUGUCACUAGUGAUCAGUGGGACAGGCUGCCCAGGCAGAGUGUCUCUUUCACAUUUUGUGAAAAUACACAAUCCCAUUCUUUUUUAUUUGCAACCAAGGCUUAUUCAGAGAUCUAUAUGAGCAUCAUCAUCUGGCCUCCAAGUACACAUCUCUUGCUCUCCUGGCAUAGCUACCAAUAUGAGGCUCACCUCACCACUCCCUGUGUAUAGAACCUAACCCCAGGAAGGCUCUCAUCUGUCUCCCCAAGGUUAAACAGCCAUGCUUCUGAAGAUGCUCCUGAGGGCAGAGCAGUACACUAAAGAUCUGCCCUCAGUUUCCUCCAGCUGAGCAGAGGAGCUUCAGGGAUUCUGAAAAUAUCUCAUCUGAAAGUGUUUUUACUGUUUACCUAUGUGGAAAAAAUUUAAUGCUGUGAAACCAAAACAGGAAAUAAAUUAGAUAUAGCUACUCAUAAGGCUGUGCCUACCAUCCAAAUCUGAUUUCAAAUUUCUAUGUUCCUCAAACUUGCCUGGUUAUUCUGAUUAUAAAAAUGCUAUACAUUUGAAUCAUACAAAUAAAAUACCACUCUUUGUUUUCUACA